GCAAUCGGUUAGAUGGAUGAUGACGCUGGAUUUUGAUAGUCUACCUUACCCCGGAGUUAACAAGGUAAACCUACAAGAUAGAAAUGAAUUUUUGUGGUAGAUGGUUCUGAAGAGAUAGCACCGUUUUAAGAUGAAGGUGGAGGUGUAGCUUUGAAGAAGAGAAGAGUUUUGGAACAUUCUAUUUAUGAAGCAGAAAUGUGAAUCCUGAGGCCUGUACAAAGUAAUAGACGCUGGGAGCAUUUACACCCAGUCAGCUUGAAGAGUCUCAAAUGGACCCUACCUCAGAAAUCAAGAUGGCUGUCUACUCUGGGGAAUUGAGGAAAAUGGAUUAAUCCAAGAAUUGCUGUGAUAAUACACAACCAAGACAGGGUUCCUUUAACAUGGAUCCCAUGAAUUGAAAGAAGAUAAUAGGUUUCUUAACUCAACCAAAUGGACAAUGGAUUUGACUUUCUAAAGACUUGGAAUUAUUAAAACAAGGACAUUUUUGGCAUUUAAAGAUGGCACAUUAACAUAGAUGAUAGCCCGUAUGCCUGGAUGUUUUUACAGUUAAAUUUGUAUUGAGUAUGAUCUUAUGGAAUGUUAACCUUAAUAAAAUUUCUAACUUUUAAAAUUU